rnacentral:rRNA from 1 species
UACGUAGGGUGCGAGCGUUAAUCGGAAUUACUGGGCGUAAAGCGUGCGCAGGCGGUGAUGUAAGACCGAUGUGAAAUCCCCGGGCUUAACCUGGGAACUGCAUUGGUGACUGCAUCGCUCGAGUAUGGCAGAGGGGGGUAGAAUUCCACGUGUAGCAGUGAAAUGCGUAGAGAUGUGGAGGAAUACCGAUGGCGAAGGCAGCCCCCUGGGUCAAUACUGACGCUCAUGCACGAAAGCGUGGGGAGCAAACAGA